GAGGGAAGUCUGGGCAUCCCUGCUUAGACUGCUGCCCCCAUGACCCGGCCCCGGAUAAGCGGAGCUGCAGACCUUUUCUGAAGAGCAGGGCUGAAGUCUUUAGGUGGUGAUGGUGUUUCCUCACGGACUGCUGUGAUUUACCGUGUGCACUGGGGCUUUUGGGAGUGGUGUAAGUUUGCAGUGUACGUAGAGUAAAGGCCUGUACGACCGGUCAUUUAGCCUAGGCUGCAGCUCCUUGUGUUGUCUUUUCUGGACCAUUUGUGUGAUUGUGGUUUUACAAGUGAAUGCAUUUUAGAUUUCCUUUGUCAUUACAUUCAAUAAACAGUGUUCCAUUUUUAUACCAGUA